AUUGAACGCUGGCGGCAUGCCUUACACAUGCAAGUCGAACGGUAACAGGUCUUCGGAUGCUGACGAGUGGCGAACGGGUGAGUAAUACAUCGGAACGUGCCUAGUAGUGGGGGAUAACUACUCGAAAGAGUGGCUAAUACCGCAUGAGAUCUACGGAUGAAAGCAGGGGAUCGCAAGACCUUGUGCUACCAGAGCGGCCGAUGGCAGAUUAGGUAGUUGGUGGGAUAAAAGCUUACCAAGCCGACGAUCUGUAGCUGGUCUGAGAGGACGAUCAGCUACACUGGGACUGAGACACGGCCCAGACUCCUACGGGAGGCAGCAGUGGGGAAUUUUGGACAAUGGGCGAAAGCCUGAUCCAGCAAUGCCGCGUGCAGGAUGAAGGCCUUCGGGUUGUAAACUGCUUUUGCACGGAACGAAAAGCCCUGGGUUAAUACCCUGGGGUCAUGACGGUACCGUAAGAAUAAGCACCGGCUAACUACGUGCCAGCCGCCGCUGUAAAAC
rnacentral:rRNA from 1 species